AACGAACGCCGGCGGCAGGCUUAACACAUGCAAGUCGAACGGGCGUAGCAAUACGUCAGUGGCAGACGGGUGAGUAACGCGUGGGAAUGUGCCCUUUAGUUCGGAAUAACACAGAGAAAUUUGUGCUAAUACCGGAUAAGCCCGAGAGGGGAAAGAUUUAUCGCUGAAGGAGCAGCCCGCGUCUGAUUAGCUAGUUGGUGAGGUAAUGGCUCACCAAGGCGACGAUCAGUAGCUGGGCUGAGAGGAUAAUCAGCCACACUGGGACUGAGACACGGCCCAGACUGCUACGGGAGGCAGCAGUGGGGAAUAUUGGACAAUGGGGGCAACCCAGAUCCAGCCAUGCCGCGUGAGUGAUGAAGGCCUUAGGGUUGUAAAACUCUGUUGUCCGGGAAGAUAAUGACUGUACCGGAAGAAUAAGCCCCGGCUAACUUCGUGCCAGCCGCCGCGGUAA
rnacentral:rRNA from 1 species